UAGACUUUCUGUCACUAUUCAUCCUGUAUGUAAUAAAUGAUGUAUUCCUUAUCAAUAUCAAAUAAAGUGGUUAUAAUUAAGUGUUCCACUCUCAAAAGACAUAUUGACUCACAAGAUAUUGGUUAAAAAACAUACAAUUUGAAUAAAAUAAGUGGAUUUUAUGGUGAAAUAAUUGCAUUUACUGUAGAAAACUUUACAGUAUACUACAAAAUAAUUGAAUCAAAAUGCACUCAGCAACUCUCAUCUUUGGUUGCUUUGUAGCAGUUUUGUCCUAUCUGGCACUGGAUGCUACUUGUGAUAGAAGGAUUUACUAUGAUGUCACUAGGCUCGAUAGCAGGGGAACAUCAGAGCUUUUUAGCCGGGCACUUGGCAGUAGAAGACAGCUCUACUCAUAUUUGGGACUCCGUAAUGGAAACAUGCUUAAAUGUGAAAUGAACAGUUACAGCUGUGCACGAUUCAACACCGUAAACCAACCGAUCACAGCAAUCACUGUUGACAAUAACAUUCUCUAUGCUGGCUUAGCAAACGGGCUAAUGUUGAUAUGUCCCACCCAAGUUAAAGACGCUUGCUCAUAUCUAAACAAUGGAGGAAAGUCUAUCAAUGGUAUAGCUGUUCAGGGCAGAUAUGUUUAUGCCGGAUUGGAUAAUGGAGUUCUUUGGCGCUGCGAAAAAUAUGAAGCAAACAGAUGUGAGGAUUAUACCACUUUUCCUAAUGAAUCUAUUCAGUCAUUGGCUGUCACGGACCAGUAUAUGUUUGUUGGGCUCAAAUCUGGCAACAUGUUGCGUUGUUACAUAGAGAGUCCAGCAUGUCUUGUGUUGAACUCUGCUGGCCAGCCUAUUCUGUCAUUGGCUGUAUCUGGUGGGUACGUAUUUGCCGGUCUCAAUAAUGGUAUCAUGUGGCGGUGCAGGGUGGAUGUUCGGCAUGCAUGUGAAACCUUCAACCGAUCCAAUUCACCACUGAAUGCUAUUACGGUAGGAGGAAGAAGAGUAUAUGCAGGUUUAGAGAACAAAAUUGUGUGGCAAUGCAGUGAGGAUGCUGCCAACUCUUGCGCUGAUUUGGAGAGAACUGGUUAUGUUAUUGACUCAAUGGAUGCCUUUUAUAUUUAAUGUGUACCUAUCAAUUC